rnacentral:rRNA from 1 species
GACGUAGGGCGCGAGCGUUGUCCGGAUUUAUUGGGCGUAAAGAGCUUGUAGGCGGUUUGUCGCGUCUGCUGUGAAAAUCCGGGGCUCAACCCCGGACUUGCAGUGGGUACGGGCAGACUAGAGUGUGGUAGGGGAGACUGGAAUUCCUGGUGUAGCGGUGAAAUGCGCAGAUAUCAGGAGGAACACCGAUGGCGAAGGCAGGGUCUCUGGGCCACUACUGACGCUGAGAAGCGAAAGCAUGGGGGAGCGAACAGGG